rnacentral:misc_RNA from 1 species
GAAAUGCGAUAAGUAAUGUGAAUUGCAGAAUUCCGUGAAUCAUCGAAUCUUUGAACGCACAUUGCGCCCUCUGGCAUUCCGGGGGGCAUGCCUGUCCGAGCGUCAUUACGCACCCUCAAGCCCGGCUUGUGUGAUGGGCCCCGGCGUCUCGUUCGCGAGACGGGCCCGAAAGGCAGCGGCGGCGUCGACCCGAUGAGCCCGAGCGUAUGGGGACUUCUGUCACACGUUCGCGGUGCGGACCGGCGCCUGCUUGACUUUUCUGAUUAUCCAGGUUGACCUCGGAUCGGGUAGGGAUACCCGCUGAACUUAAGC